rnacentral:pre_miRNA from 1 species
AAAGUACUUCCUUCGUUCGGAAAUAUUUGUCGAAGAAAUAUAUGUAUCUUGACAUAUUUUAGUUUUAGAUACAUCCAUUUUAUUUCUCCGACAAGUACUUCCGGACGGAGAGAGUAGUAC